rnacentral:rRNA from 1 species
UACGAAGGGUGCAAACGUUGCUCGGAAUUAUUGGGCGUAAAGCGCACGUAGGCGGCUCCGCAAGUCGGAUGUGAAAUCCCUCGGCUCAACCAAGGAAGUGCAUCCGAAACUGCAGAGCUUGAGUACCAAAGAGGAUCGCGGAAUUCCCGGUGUAGAGGUGAAAUUCGUAGAUAUCGGGAGGAACACCAGUGGCGAAGGCGGCGAUCUGGGUGGAUACUGACGCUGAGGUGCGAAAGCGUGGGGAGCAAACGGG